CCUACGGGAGGCAGCAGUGAGGAAUAUUGGUCAAUGGGCGCGAGCCUGAACCAGCCAAGUCGCGUGAGGGAAGACGGUCCUAUGGAUUGUAAACCUCUUUUGUCGGGGAGCAAAAGACGCCACGCGUGGCGUUCCGAGAGUACCCGAAGAAAAAGCAUCGGCUAACUCCGUGCCAGCAGCCGCGGUAAUACGGAGGAUGCGAGCGUUAUCCGGAUUUAUUGGGUUUAAAGGGUGCGCAGGCGGAAGAUCAAGUCAGCGGUAAAAUUGAGAGGCUCAACCUCUUCGAGCCGUUGAAACUGGUUUGCGUGAGUGAGCGAGAGGUAUGCGGAAUGCGUGGUGUAGCGGUGAAAUGCAUAGAUAUCACGCAGAACUCCGAUUGCGAAGGCAGCAUACCGGCGCGCAACUGACGCUGAGGCACGAAAGUGUGGGUAGCGAACAGGAUUAGAUACCCUUGUAGUC
rnacentral:rRNA from 1 species